CCUACGGGUGGCAGCAGUGAGGAAUAUUGGUCAAUGGCCGAGAGGCUGAACCAGCCAAGUCGCGUGAGGGAAGACGGCCCUACGGGUUGUAAACCUCUUUUGUCGGGGAGCAAAGCGAGUCACGUGUGACUCAUUGAGAGUACCCGAAGAAAAAGCAUCGGCUAACUCCGUGCCAGCAGCCGCGGUAAUACGGAGGAUGCGAGCGUUAUCCGGAUUUAUUGGGUUUAAAGGGUGCGUAGGCGGAAUAUCAAGUCAGCGGUAAAAAUUCGGGGCUCAACCCCGUCGUGCCGUUGAAACUGAUGUUCUUGAGUGGGCGAGAAGUAUGCGGAAUGCGUGGUGUAGCGGUGAAAUGCAUAGAUAUCACGCAGAACUCCGAUUGCGAAGGCAGCAUACCGGCGCCCAACUGACGCUGAAGCACGAAAGCGUGGGUAUCGAACAGGAUUAGAUACCCUAGUAGUC
rnacentral:rRNA from 1 species